rnacentral:rRNA from 1 species
AUGGCUAGUAGUGAAAAGAAGUUUGCCACCUUGGCUCUGCUGCUAGCAUUGCUUGGCUGUGUGGCGCGCACGUGCGAAGCGAGCUAUGGGUUUCUUCCUCCUCCUGCCCCGUCGCUCACCUACGGUCACCACCCCAAGGCCAAGAAUACUUGCUAUGGAGCGGAGAUGAUCGUUAGUAACAUUGUAAAGGAGGAGGUGAACCGCGACCGCGGCAUCGGCGCCGGGCUCAUCCGCCUCUUGUUCCACGACUGCUUCGUCCAGGGUUGCGAUGGGUCGGUCCUCCUUGACGUUAGCGCCACGCCCAACGAGCCGACCGAGAAGGACGGCAUCCCCAACAGGCGCAGCCUCCGCGGCUUCGAGGUGAUCGACAGGAUCAAGGACGCGCUGGAGGCCACGCCCGGGUGCGAGCGUGUCGUCUCGUGCGCGGACAUCGUCGCCUUUGCUGCGCGCGACGCCACCUACUUCCUCAGCAACGAGACGAUGUACUUCCAAAUGCCGUCAGGCCGCUAUGACGGAAACGUGUCCCUCGCUAGCGAGACCCUCCCCAACCUGCCCCCUCCCUUCGCAGACAUCACGAUGCUCGAGGCUUUGUUCACCAACAAGGGCCUCAGCCUCGACGACAUGGUCACCCUCUCCGGCGCACACUCCGUCGGCAUCUCCCACUGCUCGUCCUUCCGUGACCGCCUGCCGCCCAAUCCUUCUUCGGACCCCAUGGCCAUGAACUCUACGUUAGCCAACUUGGUGACAAGCAAGUGCAGCAGAGGCGACAACCCUACGGUCGAUCAGGACAUCUACACCCCUGGAUACUUGGACAACCAAUACUACAAGAACGUGAUAAACCAUGAAGUGUUGUUGAAAUCAGAUGCCGCGCUCGAGUCGUCCAAGACAAUUGAAUCCGUGAAACAAAAUGCUAAGCUCUCUAUAGACUGGAAGCUAAAGUUCGGGGAAGCCAUGGUGAAGAUGGGCAACAUCGACGUGAAGACCAGCAAGAAUGGAGAGAUCAGACACAAGUGCCGGUCCAUCAACAAGAACUACUCCUGA